GGGGGGAAAUGACCCUACUCUAAGCCUUUCGGUUUGCGCGGGCGGGCCAGCUUGCCGCGGGGAGAGUGAGAGCUCUCGAGGCCGCUCACGAUGGAGGAACUGGAGCAAGGCCUGCUGAUGCAGCCGUGGGCAUGGCUACAGCUUGCCGAGAACUCCCUCUUGGCCAAGGCUUAUAUCACCAAGCAGGGCUAUGCCUUGCUGGUUUCAGAUCUUCAACAGGUGUGGCAUGAACAGGUGGACACUAGUGUGGUCAGCCAGCGAGCCAAGGAGCUGAACAAACGCCUGACUGCUCCUCCUGCGGCUUUUCUUUGUCAUUUGGAUGAUCUGCUUCGCCCAUUGUUGAAGGACACUGCUUGCCCUGGCAAAGCUACAUUCUCCUGUGAUCGUGUGGCAGAGGCGCUGAUACUCCGGGUGCGGAGUGAGCUCUCUGGUCUCCCAUUCUACUGGAAUUUCCACUGCAUCCUAGCUAGCCCUUCGCUGGUCUCCCAACAUUUGAUUCGUCCUCUGAUGGGCAUGAGUCUGGCAUUGCAGUGCCAGGUGAGGGACCUAGCAACAUUGCUUCGUAUGAAAGAUCUAGAGAUCCAGGACUACCAGGAGAGUGGGGCUACGCUGAGCCGAGAUCGGUUGAAGACAGAGCCAUUUGAAGAGAAUUCCUUCUUGGAACAAUUUAUGGUAGAGAGCCCAGUGCCGAGUGGGUGGGUGCUCAGGAACCGGAGGCCGACGGGAGAGCAUGGUGAGGUCAGCCUCGGCAGGGCACAAUGGCCAGGGUGGGCCUUGUGUGACACAGACCCAACAAAGCCAAACCAGACCAAACACAGGAGCAGGUCAGCUGUCUCGUCGACUUCGCAUACGAUCUCAAGGGCAGCGUGCCUCGUAUCCUUAGAGCGCCGGGUCUCUCCCAAAUCACCAAGAAACUACCAGAGGCAUGCAGUGUUGGUGAUGGAAAACCCUUUGUCACAAAUCUACAGAGUCUGUAUAUGGCAGUCACCAGACAAGAGAUCCAAGUGGGACAGAAGCUUCAAGGCACUGGAGAUCCCCAGACCUCAAGCAGUGCCUCCUCACAAGGAACUGAUAGCCAACUUCUGAAUCAGCCAGAAGAGCCGGUCUCCUCAGCACCAUCCCUCCCAGUGCCUGAAAAAGAGCCCACAGUUACUUCAGGCCCUAUGCAGAGACCUCAGCUGUUGAAGGUCAAGAGGAGGAAGCUAAGUGGGCUCUUCAGUUAACCUGUCGCUGUCUCAACUGCUGAGGAUGGACUUGGAGAGUAGUUUCCUAGUGUCACCUUGAAAGGAGGUCCUGUGGCAGCAGCAUCUCUGACACAGAGUUACACAGUCAGGGACUCCACUGUAAGGGCAAGAUAACUGAAGUUCAUGUUGACAGGCAUGGAUACUAUUAAUUGAGGGAAUCCUGGCUCCAAUCCAUCGGGCACUGGCCUUCCCUGUCCGAGUGGAAGCCAGUCUCUGGGAAUCCCAUGCCCUCCUUUCUUUUGGUGAAGGUUCUCUAGACCCAGGAUCUACCAUGGACUUUAGGUAUAUGGGGCAGGUCUGCAAAAAGGCACAGCAUGCUUAGGAAGCCUUGUCUACCUUUCUUAAGAGUCCCUAGCCAGUCCCAGGUGUUCCUCAGAGACCCUCUCCUCUCUUUAGCAUGGAAUAAAAAGCACUCACACUC